rnacentral:lncRNA from 1 species
UUAAAUUUCAUCCGUUUUCUAGGCAGAGUUUCAAGAUGCUGCAACUCAGCAUCCGGUACAAUUCUAUUUGGUAAUCCUGGAAAUGAAACAUGAGCUCUACGAUAAAUCCAUCCAAAAAUUAGGCGGCCAGAGAGACAGAGGUACUUAACAGUACAGAGACUUUAAACUAAGGAAGAAAAUGCCUUUUCAGUUACAGUUGCAGAUGUCCUUGUUGAUGAGUAGGCCGUUGUUGACGGAUGUGACACGGGAAUUUCUCUCGGAGGAAUACCAGGACUUUCAUACCUAGCUAUCAAAUCAGUGGAUUCAGGAGAUUUGAUUGUUCUGAAUUUGAUCAAAUAUGCACCUUUAAUCAAUUCGUAUAGUAGCACCGCACAAAGAAUCGUGGCGAUAAUUUCAAAUGAAACUAUGACUGCACCAAAUCCAAACAAGCAACCAAUAUAAUAAUCAAUUGCUCCGAUUACUUUCGGCCCACAACCCUGUAUUUAUGAAAAGAUUUACCAAAAUAGCUUAAUCAGCUAAAACAGUAUUCUAACAAACAAACAGUAUACCUCCAUGAACAAGACAUGGCCAACAGGAGUGUUGAUGUUACGAAUUCCAUCCAAGUGCAUUUCUUCACAGAGAUCGGAUUGCCAAUCAAUGCAGCACGAUUUUGGCACGAUGAAAGUCUUGGUGGGCCACGCUCCUUUAGUACGCCUUGCUGGAUCAAGUCGAUGACAGUGGUGUUCGCAAUGUCAUUGCCAUAGUGACGCUGAAUGGCCCAGAAAAUACCGAGGUGAACUUUUUCGUGAAACGGAGCCAGUUCGUUAAAAAGGGCAUAUACCAAACCGAGAAGAGGAGGAUUUCCUUUAGCAACCCCAGUACAUCCAAUGGAACUGACGAUCAUCAAUGACACUCCUGUCGCCACCAACACGUAUCCGGCUAGGUAGCUCCCGCUUCCGUGGAAUAGUAAAUAGCUAUAAUCAUUGUCAAAAACGAUUCGUAGAGAAACAGCCAAGAUAACUGUCCCAAUAACCUGUUUCAAAUUGUUAACACGAAUACAAAGAAUCGCAG